UUGAUCUGAUUGCUCUCUAAGUUGAAGUGAUUUCACUUCAUACCUGAGAAUAAUCGGGUCAAACUUCCGUUCUUGGACCUUUUGGUGCCGUUUGAUUCCGUGAUCCCUCUAGCUUCGCUUGGUUGUUGUUCAAGACUUCUAAGCACCCUCAAACAAGAACAUUUGAUGAUUGGACUUGGAACCCGACGCCAUCUUCGCGUAGUGUAUGAGCUCCAGUUCCAAUAAAGACAUAAAGGAACCGCUAGAAGAACCCGAACGCUUUCUCAGAUAAAAGUUAAAAGCCAAGAACCAAGAGAAGGUUUCGGGUGAUACACCCCCAAUGGCGGACCAACGUACCCUUAUGGAUUAUCUACGACCCACCGCAGGUAAUCUAGGCGCCGCUAUCAAUGCUCCGAAUGUCGAGGCCAAUAACUUUGAACUUCGACCGCAUUUGAUACAAAUGCUCCAAAACUCCGCAACCUUCCACGGGCUUGCGGACGAGGAUCCUCAUCUACAUAUAACUAAUUUUUUAGAAAUAUGUGAUACCUUUCGGAUCAAUGGAGCAUCAAACGACACCAUCCGCCUCCGUAUGUUUCCAUUCUCACUAAAAGACCGAGCGAAAGCUUGGCUCAACACCCUCCCAGCUGGAUCGGUAAACACCUGGGAUGAACUAGCCCAAAAGUUUCUAUAUAAGUAUUUCCCUCCUUCUAAAACUGCUAAAUUAAUGGCUGAAAUUAAUACGUACUCACAAGAGGACGGGGAAUCCUUAUAUGAAACUUGGGAAAGGUUCAAGGAGCUAUUACGCAAGUGUCCUCAUCACGGCCUCGCAAUAUGGCAACAAGUAUCCACUUUCUACAAUGGAUUGUUGCCACACACUAGGCAGACACUUGAUUCUAGCUCCGGGGGACUUUUAGGUAAUCGACGCCCACACGAAAUAUAUAAUCAGAUUGAGGAAAUCGCUCAAACCAAUUUUCAAUGGCACACUCCCCGGGGAAAUAAGUCUAUCGCCCCGGGCGCCCAUAAGGUCGACGAAAGGACCUCUUUACAAGCCCAAAUCGAGGCCCUU
rnacentral:lncRNA from 1 species